rnacentral:sRNA from 1 species
GGUGUAGCGUCAGUCCAUCUACUAAAGUAUCCAAAUCUGCAAAUGUCAUACCGGAAAUCAUUUCUACUUUGUUAACAAACGCUUUAAUUUUGUUUUCUUCACAACGAUUAUUUAAUGAUGUAUCAUUAAGAUUUUUUCGUUUAGCUCCACGUAAAUGGAUAGUAAUGAAAGCAAUUUCUGCCUGAUUAAACGUGACGUCAUAUAUUUGACCAAGUUUAUCAGCA